rnacentral:rRNA from 1 species
CCUACGGGUGGCAGCAGUGGGGGAUAUUGGACAAUGGGGGAAACCCUGAUCCAGCGACGCCGCGUGAGUGAAGAAGUAUUUCGGUAUGUAAAGCCCUGUCAGCAGGGAAGAAAGAAAUGACGGUACCUGACCAAGAAGCCCCGGCUAACUACGUGCCAGCAGCCGCGGUAAUACGUAGGGGGCAAGCGUUAUCCGGAAUUACUGGGGGUAAGGGGAGCGUAGACGGUGAUGCAAGUCUGGAGUGAAAGGCGGGGGCCCAACCCCCGGACUGCUCUGGAAACUGUGUAACUUGGGUGCAGGAGAGGUAAGCGGAAUUCCUGGUGUAGCGGUGAAAUGCGUAGAUAUUAGGAGGAACACCAGUGGCGAAGGCGGCUUACUGGACUGUAACUGACGUUGAGGCUCGAAAGCGUGGGGAGCAAACAGGAUUAGAUACCCGGGUAGUC